rnacentral:tRNA from 1 species
GGGCGCGUAGCCUAGCGGAUAUGGCGGCAGCCUCCUAAACAAACUUUUGCAGGAGAAAGCUGCAAUUCGAGGGUUCAAAUCCCUUCGCGCCCGCCA